GACGUAGGUGGCGAACGUUAUCCGGAAUCAUUGGGCGUAAAGGGUGCGUAGAUGGCAUAAUAAGUUGCUGGUGGUAAAUCGAGGCUCAACCUCGUGGAAGCUGGUAAUACUGUUUUGCUUGAGUGCAGGAGAGGUUAACGGAACUCCAUGUGGAACGGUAAAAUGUGUAGAUAUGUGGAAGAACAUCAAUAACGGCGAAGGCAGUUAACUAUUCUGUUACUGACGUUGAGGCACGAAAGCGUGGGGAGCAAAACGG
rnacentral:rRNA from 1 species